AGAUUGAACGCUGGCGGCAUGCUUUACACAUGCAAGUCGAACGGUAACAGGCCGCAAGGUGCUGACGAGUGGCGAACGGGUGAGUAAUGCAUCGGAACGUGCCCAGUCGUGGGGGAUAACGCAGCGAAAGCUGUGCUAAUACCGCAUACGAUCUAUGGAUGAAAGCGGGGGACCGAAAGGCCUCGCGCGAUUGGAGCGGCCGAUGUCAGAUUAGCUAGUUGGUGGGUAAAGGCCACCAAGGCGACGAUCUGUAGCUGGUCUGAGAGGACGACCAGCCACACUGGAACUGAGACACGGUCCAGACUCCUACGGGAGGCAGCAGUGGGGAAUUUUGGACAAUGGGCGCAAGCCUGAUCCAGCAAUGCCGCGUGCAGAAGAGGCCUUCGGUGUAAACUGCUUUUGUACGGAACGAAACGUCGUUAGGUUAAUACCGUACGGCUAAUGAACGGUACCGUAAGAAUAAGCACCGGCUAACUACGUGCCAGCAGCCGUA
rnacentral:rRNA from 1 species